CAGUCCACCCUCCAACAUUUUGCCGAUCCACAACUUCCACUAAGAAAAGAAGGACCGAAGGAGACAAUUAUUAACUCCACCAAUCUCCUGACCAACCUCAGCCUCAGUGGAUAUCCUCACUUCCUCUGCACUAGUACGACACUGUCUCUCCUCCUUCUACAACCUGUUCUCAACCCAUUUCAGUUUCAGAUACUAACCCACCUAUGUCUCAACUUAAAUAGGACUGAGUUUCCUGAGGGAGACUUCAGAUGUUCUGCUCACACAAGUGAGCUCUCCUUGAGAACCUCUACACCGCUCCUCUGUCUGCUCUCCUGGCUCAAGUGCUCCACGAUAACUCGUCACUCUCUCACCACCUGCCAGUUCACCCUCCAACAUUUUGCCGAUCCACAACUUCCACUAGGAAAAGAAGGACCGAAGGAGACAAUCAUUAACUCCACCAAUCUCCUGACCAAGCUCCGCCUCAGUGGAUAUCCUCACUUCCUCUGCACCAGACUGGGUUUCCCAAAGGAGUCUUCACAUUUACAAGAGAUAAUUGAUUCUAAAGUACUGACUUCCAUUCUCUGCGUCUGUUCUGAGAAAUCUCCUUAAGAACCUCCACACCGCUCCUCUGACCGCACUCCUGCCUGUACAUCCUCCAAAGUUGGUUUCACCAAUCAAAAACUUCAAGGACAAAAGACCAAGUUUCUGGAUACAGAUGGCAGGUUGUUGUCCUCACACAUGAGUCUGUUUGAAGAACUCUCCCUAAGACUCUCCACACCACUCCUCUGGCCACCCUCCUGACUCAAAGGCUCAUCUGUAACUUAUUGGUCACUCACCUCCUGGUGCACUCUCCAUCGUCCAAACAUCCAACCUUGAAGAGAAGGACAGAAGGAGACAAUAACUAAUUCAACCAAUCAUCAAUCUGUUGCCAACCUCAGCCUCUGCUGAUGAGUUCACCACCUGUGCACCAUGCCGUCCUGGAUUCUUGAUCUAAAACAAGAAGAAUCAUCUCACUGUGCAGAUUUACCAAUAAACCUUUCAAACUGUC